CUCGCUGUAGCGAGGGCAGCGACAGAGAACGUGGACUAUCGUUUCUUCACUGCCGCCGUGCUUGCAAGCUGCACUGUCUUCCAUGCCUUGACGACAGGCCCCUGUCGGAACAGUUCAUGCUAGAAGUCCGACCCGAAAGGUCCGCAGGUCAGAAAUCAAGUUGUGAUGAGAGCAACCGGCAUAUAUUGGGCUGCUGUCCUGCUUUGUUUUAUUUCCUCCAUCUAUGGAUAUACGAAUAAUCAAUGUGAAGAGAGGAGCCAUACACUCGGGUGUCCUGAAGAAUUUACACUUUGUUGUUUUGUUCACCGUGGUAACUGUACCUGCAAUUGUGCUCCACCAAGACAAACAUGUCUCAUGAACUUCAAAGAAAAUUGUGAUGGUUUUCCUAACAUUCUCACCUGCCAUAACGCAGGCCCCUAUGCAUUGUGCUUUUGUGUCCGUACUCCGGGCAGAUAGAAGCUUCAGGUGAACCUUGGAUUUGUUUCAUGAUGAGUCACAUAAAAAAUUUUCAGAAAUAUUACAAAAGCCCUUUUGUAUGAAAUCAUGCGAUAAGUGACAUCUAGCCAAUAAAAAGCUUUUUGAGG